UGUCAAUUCACUGGAAAGGACUUUCUGCACAGCGUCUGUAAAACUGAACUGUAGACAGUCUGUUGAACAAACUCCAGCCUUCUUCUGUUUAUAUUGUAAUUUUGUCCAGCCUCCAGAUGAGGGAGUAUCCUUCCAGAUUAUGGAUUGCUGGAGCUGAAGAUCAUGCACAUAGAAGAGGGGACGGAUAAUGGGGCCAAUCCUAUGUUUCUUAUGGAGUUGAUGGAGAUAACGAAGCUCUGGAUGAGGCAUAGAGCAAAGAAGAAACGGACAAGAUAGGUGCCUCUAUGAAAGAGAAAUUGAAAGACUUGACUGAACAAAUAGAUCCAUCGCUGCACAAAGGAGAGCGUCAAGCUGCCAAAGCACUUCUCGCCCAAAUGAAAUACUUUGCGAGCAUUGAAGACAAGCAUAACUUUUAGAGCUAAUGUAAACUUUGUUGACUUUGUUUUGAUACUUCUUGGGUCUUUUUAAAGCUGUUUUGAAAGUCUUCAAUAAUUCUAAUAAUACAAUUAGUAUUUAUUUAUUAUGUACAGUAUUUGUUAAAGUUUCAGGUAUACUAAUAAAUGUCAAAUAUUAAUAGGUUACACAUUGCCAUCAUUUUUGUGUGAUGGAUCAAUUCAAAAGUCAAUUAUUGAGUAUGUUAAAAAUAUUAUAUUAUAUGAAAAGCUUUUAACUCAACUAUCUCCUGCGCAAU